rnacentral:rRNA from 1 species
CUACCUGGUUGAUCCUG